UACGUAGGGGGCUAGCGUUGUCCGGAAUCAUUGGGCGUAAAGCGCGUGUAGGCGGUCCGGUAAGUCCGCUGUGAAAGUCGAGGGCUCAACCCUCGAAUGCCGGUGGAUACUGUCGGGCUAGAGUACGGAAGAGGCGAGUGGAAUUCCUGGUGUAGCGGUGAAAUGCGCAGAUAUCAGGAGGAACACCAACGGCGAAGGCAGCACUCUGGGCCGUAACUGACGCUGAGGAGCGAAAGCGUGGGUAGCAAACAGG
rnacentral:rRNA from 1 species